CAAGCUAGCGCUCAAAGGGAAGCUGUGAGAAAAGUUUAAUACUUCAGACCUUUCUAGCAGGGAGCUGGGUCUUCGCCAAAGUUCCCCACACUGUCAAGCUUCAGCACUGUCAAGAAGCAGCUCCGAAUCACAAUCAAGGAACACACAGCAACAAGUGAGGAAAAUCCUCCUUCCUAAAGGAUGGGGGAGCAGGAGGCACAGGACAGCCUAAUAACAGCACAACAACAAACAGCCUAAUAACAGGAACAACAUUAGACAAGCUAGA
rnacentral:lncRNA from 1 species